ACCAUCACAAGUUAUCUCUUGUCAAUUUGACACAUAAUUGUAUCUCCUUUGUCCAAAUGAAAACAAUAACCAAGACACAAUAACACCUAACAUGAUAUAACUCUCCCUUGUACAACUACAUAAAUUUAUCUGAGUGGGAUCUUGCCUUAAGGUCUUCACUCCCUUAAUUCCUAAUAUCCUUGAAAACAGGAUCUGGCUUCAUUCCACUUCCUGAUGCUUCUUUAGUCUUUGAACGAUACAUUUUGUAUUUUCCUUUCUAAGCUCGCUACAUUUGAUCACACUGCUCUUCAUGAGAGUAAACCAGAAUACAAAGUUUAGACUGGGCUUUUUUGAGACAUCCUCUGUCAAAGCAAUUAGUUUGAAUUUCUUCACCUUAGCCUCAGGCAGACUUUUUGUACAAGGGUGAAAAGUGCCACUCUCCAUUAAAAUAUAAGAACAACCUCUAGGCAGCAUAUUGAUAUUAUACUCAGAAAAAAACUUGAGGGAGACUCCCAGAGUUCAAAUUACCAUCAGCACCAAUGUAUUCCAUAUUCCUUCUAGGAUGACCCAUUAAGUCCCAUUUAAAGCAUUCCAGGUCUUUCCAAAUUCAAAGUCCCCAAUUCCACAUUCUUCUAAUCAAAAUAUAGUCUGGCCUAUCACAGAAAUAUCCCCCAGUCUCUGGUACCAACCCAUGUCUUAGGGUUUCCAUUGCAGUGAAGAGACACCAUGACUAGAGCAACUCUUAAAAGACAGCAUUUAAGGCUGGCUUACAGGAUCAAAGAUUCAGUAUAGCAGUGUCCAUGCAAGCAUGGUAAUGGAAGGGCAGAGAGUUCUGUCUUGUUCGGAAGACAAACAGAAGACUCAGCAUCCUCAGGUAGCCAGAAGGAGGUUCUCAAAACACAUCCCCACAGUGACACUUUCUCCAACAAGGCCACACCUACUUCAACAAACUCACACCUCUAAUAGUUUCAUUUAUUGGCCCAAGCAUACUCAAACCACCACACUUCUUCUCCACCCAAUGAGCUACAAUGCCUCUGCUAAGGAGGCUUCCUCUCAGAGCUAUGUGACUCUUGGUGCCAGUGUGUCUGGAUACUCCUCCAUUGGAACACUGUCCUGCUUCAAAGCUGAGUGGAUCCUAGGCCUCCAAGUCCCAGGACACCUUCUCAUCCAACAUUUUGGUGUAGUGCCUCACGAAGACUGUCUUUGGUGCUUGUGCUUCUGACUCUGGAUGGAUUGAACUGCACUAGCACUCUUUCAUCUCCAGAUGGCCUGCAGCAGACUCAUCUUCCAGCUCUCCUAUAGCUCAACAUCCCAUCCACUAGCAACAAUUAGGAUUGCCAGCUUUUAGCUUUGUAGCCAGAGCCUGAAACUACUGGUUAUACCCUGAAAGUGAAGAUGAACUUGCUCCACAGACUUCAAACCCACAGAGCCGUAGGGGAGAUGAACAACGAGGAUGAGAUCUCUACACACAAACCUGACUGUACAUUAAUAGUAAACAAAAAUGGGGUUGGUGGAGGACAUUAGAUAUUCAUGCCACUCAAGUGGCAGGAAUGGCUUUCCCUACCAUGAAUUCCAUUUGUAAACUUUGUAUACUUUGGAAACUCUGUAUAUUUGGUAAACUCUGUAAACCCUCAAGGCAGGAAAGUGGUCAGGCUCCUGUCUGAGGUGCUCCAGCAGCCAGGCCCAUCCUCAGACCUGUCAUAAUUAUCACAAAGGUCAUCUCCAGCUAUUCACCAGGACCCUCCCCAGAUUACUUAAUUUUAGGUGAAAAAUCUGAUCAAAAGCUACAAAUCCCUGAAUAGCAAAACCUACCAAUCCCUGAAUGUCCCAUAGUAGCCCAACAAACCCUGAGCACAAAACAAACAAAACCAAAACCAAACACAAAACAAUCCCUGAACAGGAAAACCCUGAGCUCCAAAUCUUAACCAAUUCAUAACCCUGGAAACCUCCACCCUAGAAAGCUCCACCCUAAGGACACCUAUACAAGCACCGUGCCUUGUCCAUUUCCCCACUGUCUUCUCUCUUGGGAGCAUAAGCAGCCAUUCCUGGACUCACCCAUUCGCACCCUGGAACUACCAAUAAAUUUGAGAUUUGCA